rnacentral:rRNA from 1 species
UACGUAGGGGGCAAGCGUUGUCCGGAUUUAUUGGGCGUAAAGAGCUCGUAGGCGGUCUGUCGCGUCUGCUGUGAAAACUCAGGGCUUAACCCUGAGCUUGCAGUGGGUACGGGCAGACUAGAGUGCGGUAGGGGAGACUGGAAUUCCUGGUGUAGCGGUGAAAUGCGCAGAUAUCAGGAAGAACACCCGUGGCGAAGGCGGCUCUCUGGGACGGUACUGACGCUGAGACGCGAAAGCGUGGGGAGCGAACAGG